GAUGAACGCUGGCGGCGUGCCUAAUACAUGCAAGUCGAGCGAACGGACGAGAAGCUUGCUUCUCUGAUGUUAGCGGCGGACGGGUGAGUAACACGUGGAUAACCUACCUAUAAGACUGGGAUAACUUCGGGAAACCGGAGCUAAUACCGGAUAAUAUUUUGAACCGCAUGGUUCAAAAGUGAAAGACGGUCUUGCUGUCACUUAUAGAUGGAUCCGCGCUGCAUUAGCUAGUUGGUAAGGUAACGGCUUACCAAGGCAACGAUGCAUAGCCGACCUGAGAGGGUGGUCGGCCACACGGGAGCUGAGACACGGUCCAGACUCCUACGGGAGGCAGCAGUAGGGAAUCUUCCGCAAUGGGCGAAAGCCUGACGGAGCAACGCCGCGUGAGUGAUGAAGGUCUUCGGAUCGUAAAACUCUGUUAUUAGGGAAGAACAUAUGUGUAAGUAACUGUGCACAUCUUGACGGUACCUAAUCAGAAAGCCACGGCUAACUACGU
rnacentral:rRNA from 1 species